GGAGCAUCUUAGCAGCCAGCCCCGGGUUUCUGCGCCAGGAGAUGAGGGUCGGUAGAGCCCUGGAAUGGAGAUGUCCUUGACACCUGGGCAGAGGCUGCAGCUGCAGGACCCUGUGGCCACUGGAGAUAAGUAAUGGUGCCAUUUGAACACCUACUGGAAACGGGGCAGGAACAGUGAGUGACCCCAGGCGAGCACAGGCAGGUGCCAUGAGCCAGGAUGCAAGGAUGAUGCCUCCGGAGGCCCUGGCCUCCCUCCCACCUGGGC
rnacentral:lncRNA from 1 species